AAGUCGUAACAAGGUUUCCGUAGGUGAACCUGCGGAAGGAUCAUUAACACGUAUCCACGUAUCAACCAACUGGUCUUAUAUGUUUUCACCCUCGCCCUUGCGAUUCGGCAUGAAUUGGACUGCGAUCUGACGAGAAUGAAAUGGGGGAAGGAAGAAAGAGUCAAAUCCGAAACCUUCCACUCGUCGAAUCACAACUGAUGGACGAAACGCCAUCGACAAUUGUAGCCGAAUCGAGCAAGGCAAAUUUGUUCUACUUAUUAGUCUCUCCCUUUCAUGGGACGAACGGUGGAAUUUAUUUCAUACACACAAUCACCCCCUUUUUGCUAGUUGACUUUUCUAUGUUGUUGUUCUCUUCCCUUGAUUGGGUCGGAGCCUCACACAUUUCUUAAUUGAAUUUGAAUUUACAACUCUUAGCAAUGGAUAUCUUGGUUCUC
rnacentral:misc_RNA from 1 species